rnacentral:rRNA from 1 species
AAACGACAUCGAAAGCUUGCUUUUGAUGGGCGUCGACCGGCGCACGGGUGAGUAACGCGUAUCCAACCUGCCCAUCACUUGGGAAUAACCUUGCGAAAGUAAGACUAAUACCCAAUGAUAUCCCACGAAGGCAUCCGAAGUGAAUUAAAGAUUUAUCGGUGAUGGAUGGGGAUGCGUCUGAUUAGCUUGUUGGCGGGGUAACGGCCCACCAAGGCGACGAUCAGUAGGGGUUCUGAGAGGAAGGCCCCCACAAUGGGACUGAGACACGGCCCAUACUCC